AUGGAGGUUCCAUGAGUUGCAUGCCAACUGAAGGCUCCAAUGCUAUUCCGACUACCUCCAUCAACAAAUUUCAGAAGGGUCAUUUCCUUAUCGACAUUAUCUUUAUAUCGAGCUCUCUCCUCUGCUGGAUUAAACAGGCUUGAGGUUUUCAUGUGCCUGAACAAUGCUUUGCUCAAUUGCACUGACAAUGGCAUCAAAUGAUUGCUGGACAAAGCCUAAAGAAGUAACAGAGUAAACCAUAUACUGUAAGUAACCACCUGGUCCGGCGUGAGUGUGGAUGCCACUUAUUGCCACAUUUUCUUCUGUAUACAAAUCUCCAAACCUAUAUAAUACACAAAUUUCGGAAAUUUGAGAUACCUCGCAUUUUUCUUAACAUAUAAGUGUAUUGAAUGUAUAUCUUGAUGUGUAACUGAAGCACUUGGUAAUAGUUUAGUUGGUUA